rnacentral:rRNA from 1 species
UACGUAGGGAGCGAGCGUUAUCCGGAAUUAUUGGGCGUAAAGGGAGCGUAGACGGUGAUGCAAGUCAGAAGUGAAAGCCCGGGGCUCAACUCCGGGACUGCUUUUGAAACUGUGUGACUGGAGUGCAGGAGAGGUAAGCGGAAUUCCUGGUGUAGCGGUGAAAUGCGUAGAUAUUAGGAGGAACACCGGUGGCGAAGGCAGCAUGCCGGCUCCACACUGACGCUGAGGCACGAAAGCGUGGGUAUCGAACAGG